GAUGAACGCUGGCGGCGUGCCUAAUACAUGCAAGUCGAGCGAACAGAUGAGGAGCUUGCUCCUCUGACGUUAGCGGCGGACGGGUGAGUAACACGUGGAUAACCUACCUAUAAGACUGGGAUAACUUCGGGAAACCGGAGCUAAUACCGGAUAAUAUAUUGAACCGCAUGGUUCAAUAGUGAAAGACGGUUUUGCUGUCACUUAUAGAUGGAUCCGCGCCGCAUUAGCUAGUUGGUAAGGUAACGGCUUACCAGGGCAACGAUGCGUAGCCGACCUGAGAGGGUGUUCGCCACACCGGGACUUGAGCCACGGUCCAACUCCCUACGGGAGGCAGCAGUAGGGAUUCUUCCGAAAUGGGCGAAAGCCUGACGAGCAACGCCGCGUGAGUGAUGAAGGUCUUCGGAUCGUAAAACUCUGUUAUUAGGGAAGAACAAAUGUGUAAGUAACUAUGCACGUCUUGACGGUACCUAAUCAGAAAGCCACGGCUAACUACGUG
rnacentral:rRNA from 1 species